UGGGGAAUAUUGCACAAUGGGCGCAAGCCUGAUGCAGCCAUGCCGCGUGUGUGAAGAAGGCCUUCGGGUUGUAAAGCACUUUCAGCGAGGAGGAAGGUGGUGAGCUUAAUACGCUCAUCAAUUGACGUUACUCGCAGAAGAAGCACCGGCUAACUCCGUGCCAGCAGCCGCGGUAAUACGGAAGGUGCAAGCGUUAAUCGGAAUUACUGGGCGUAAAGCGCACGCAGGCGGUUUGUUAAGUCAGAUGUGAAAUCCCCGGGCUCAACCUGGGAACUGCAUUUGAAACUGGCAAGCUAGAGUCUCGUAGAGGGGGGUAGAUCCAGGUGUAGCGGUGAAAUGCGUAGAGAUCUGGAGGAAUACCGGUGGCGAAGGCGGCCCCCUGGACGAAGACUGACGCUCAGGUGCGAAAGCGUGGGGCAGCAAACAGGAUUAGAUACCCUGGUAGUCCACGCUGUAAACGAUGUCGAUUUGGAGGUUGUGCCCUUGAGGCGUGGCUUCCGGAGCUAACGCGUUAAAUCGACCGCCUGGGGAGUACGGCCGCAAGGUUAAAACUCAAAGGAAUUGAC
rnacentral:rRNA from 1 species